AUGGCUCAGGACGGACGCUGGCGGCACGCUUAACACAUGCAAGUCGAACGGAGUUAUCGAGAGCUUGCUUUGAUAACUAGUGGCGGACGGGUGAGUAACACGUGAGCAAUCUGCCCUUAAGAGGGGGAUAGCAGUUGGAAACGACUGAUAAUACCGCAUAAGAUAGUAGUACCGCAUGGUACAGCUAUAAAAGAUUUAUCGCUUAAGGAUGAGCUCGCGUCUGAUUAGCUGGUUGGUGAGGUAACGGCUCACCAAGGCAACGAUCAGUAGCCGGACUGAGAGGUUGGACGGCCACAUUGGGACUGAGACACGGCCCAGACUCCUACGGGAGGCAGCAGUGGGGAAUAUUGCACAAUGGAGGAAACUCUGAUGCCAGCGAUGCCGCGUGAGGGAAGAAGGUUUUAGGAUUGUAAACCUCUGUUGACAGGGACGAUAAUGACGGUACCUGUUGAGGAAGCUCCGGCUAACUACGUGCCAGCAGCUGC
rnacentral:rRNA from 1 species